CAGGGGCCAGAGGGUCUGGUUUUAUAGUCCCUUCAAGUGAAUUUGGGCCGUCGGAUCAAACCGACAUUAAUCGCACGGUUUUCCUUGAUCCUUUAGGUCGGUGGAGCAUAAUCCGCGAAACGUGUCCGAAUUGGUCCCUGGAAGUGGGCGGGCGCCCAAGGGACUAGGGCGGGCGCCCUGUGCCUGAGCCCUCUCGGCCUCCGCUUUGUUCCCGUGGCUUCUGGAGUCUUCUAGAUGGUAGAAAAUUGCGCAGCACGUUAAUAUCUCUAUGUAAACCCGACAUGUGGGCCUUUCUUCCGUAUUUCCUGAUAACCCCCUGCAGAAAUAGACAAACACCAAAACUCGUGGAAUUCUGUCAGAUAAAACCCUAAGUCUAGGUGUUGGUUGCAUUUGGAUCCGUUUCUAUGAUUAGUUGAUAGUUAAAUGUGAGCAUUAAGGACCGUCAACAAGCUCCCCCAAGCUUAACCUUUGCUCGUCCCUGAGCAAAGAUGGACUCAAGAGUUUCUGCAGUGGUUUCAUGCCUUAAAGAUACACAUGCGUUGAAACAAGAUCUCACCUCUGGGUUAGGGUAAACUAUUAAGAUUUAAACUUACCCAUUGUACCUUCCACCAUGGGGCUUGCAACCGUCACUUGUGUCUUGAGCAAUUAAAAGAUAGAACGGUCUAGUCAAGCGCCAUGUCUCUUGUUCUUCAAUUAACUAUAGCUCUGGAGUUUUUGCAGAUUUUCAAAUAAAACUCAGAGAUUCCUUGUAUGACUCUCUCUAGUCUCUCUUUUGUGGUAUUUCUGGAUCCUUACCAAGGCAGUAAAGGUGUAUGUCUUCUCUCAAAGUAUGUGGUAUUUCUGGUAUGAGGCAUAGUGACAUUGCCUUCUCUCUCACUCUACUCUAAUAAGGUUUUUUUUUAUAUCUGGAGCUGAUAGGUGGGAGACAGCUAAUACAUACUUACAAGACAUUUAUUGCAUAGUCAAACCAUGGAUCCAGAGUAACAAGUCAAUAAGUCAAAUCAAGAUGUGCAUGUGUGGCGAGUGAAUGGUGUAUGGUGGUGAUGGUGAUAACAAUGGUGAACGUCUAAUUCUACUUGUGCUCUUUUGAGGGAAUACAUAUAUUUCUUGCUCUUUUGAAACUUUUUGAGGAGAAUGAGAUGCUCUAUAUUUUCUUUUUCUUUCCUCUCAGGUGGGUAUCUUGUACCCCUAAUUCUACUAUCGGACACUUGUCCAUUUUUACCUCUCGUCUCACUUUUUUUUCUUUUCUUUCAAGGUUCCGGGCACUUGCCCCUUUUUAUUUCCUCGUAUUCUUUCUCUCUUUUUUUUCUCUCUAUUUUUAGAGCACUCAUCUCCUGAAAUAAUAUAGCAAGUGGUAGUAACCAAGAUAACUUGAGCAUUUAUUUCACAGGGAAAAACAAAAAUGUUUUUGACUAUUCUCUCCCGGAUUAGGAAUAGAAUAUUUUUAGGUGAUUCUGGAGAUGGAAAUGGAUGGAUAUAUGUGGAUGCGUACCUCCGAAGUAGAAGCAGCAUGUAUGAGUGAACGUGCAUGUGAAUCUUGAUUUAACCACAUGACAAGCUCCUAAGGGUCUAUACAGCUUGACCACACUCAAUGCUCAUAAGCAGUAAAAAGUAAAUGUGUGGCUCAAAGUCUAGCAAGCAUGUAUAUAUGGCUGUGGUAGGAAUUUAAACUCUCAUCAUAUAGGAACUCAUCAUGCAACAUUUUGAAAUAUUUUCAAAGAUAAAAUUUUCCAGAAUUCUAGCAUCUCUAGGAACAGAUAAACAACAGCUCAACCUUCCCAUAUCGUAUCCGUUAAUGACUUAGACUUUAGAUCAAGUACUCUUCCCACAAGUUUAGGUUUAGAGCAAAUCUUAAUUAAUACCAGUCAUGCCUAAACUUAAGAGAGAUUUCAAUUUUGGGAACUAGUCAUGGCAGAGCAACUAUUCAUCAUUUCCAUGUGAGAGCUUAUCAUGAGGGUUCAUAGCAAACUUUAUUUAUUUAUUUAUUUAUCAAACUAAUCAAAGAUAUAUAUAUAUAUAUAUAAGCAUAUUAGAGUAAAGUAUAAACGUGAGUAGAAUACUUAGCUGGAUAAAUGGGGUUGCUCUCCCCCAAGCUGGAUUUUGACGUAAUUCCUUUUGAUGUAGCAAGUGGCGGAGGUGUACUUGAAUGUCGGCAGCACCCUGACAGUGAUUAGGAUGUCCUCCGUCUGCUAGUCUUCUUUGAUUCUUGAAUUCUGUGGAGCUCAAAUAGACAACAAAGCUUUGUGGAGCUGGUUAAGUGUUAGCAUAAAUAUCUAGCCUUUAUCAUGUUGAGCCUCCUCAAUAAAUGUUACUCUCUUUAGUAGGAUCAUAAUUUUAUUUUUAUAAUUUCAUUUUUAUAGGACAGGAAUAUAUUUAUUUCAUUUUUAUGGCACCACAGUGAAUGUACUUAUGGGUUUUAUGCCAUGAGCAUACUCACCUGGGGCUUACUAUUUUUAACAUUUUUAUUUUCUUUUCAAGAUGAUAUAAACCUGAUUAACUAAGAAAACUAUUUUAAAUAGUUGAAAGGAAAAAGAUAACUACCAUGUUUACCUCUUGGCAAGGCGUUCGGUGUUUUUAAGUCCUCCGAACUAGACUCUUCAUUUUCUCAGUCGUCCUGGGAUUCACUGGAUGGCGUAGUCGGUGGUUCCGGCGGCGCCUGCUCUUCGUGUAUAGUUAUCUUCUCUCUACACACCUGACUCGGUGCUACGGUCUCCUCAGGACAGUUCUGUUCAAGCUGUAUAUCUUCAGACCUUACAACUUCUCCAUCAUAGUCUACCCAUCCGUCCUUGAUGAUUUUGCCUUCUCUGGUUGCAGUUGCGUCGUCUCCUUCUUGUCCUGACCUGCUUAGAGUCUUCAACUAUAUAGUUAGGGUCAGUAAAAUAGUGGCGUACCUUCUCAGAGGGGAAGUUCAUGUGGACUUCUCCGGUUCCAAUGUAGAUGAUUAUUUUAACGGUGCUGAGGAACUGUCUCCCAAUGGUGAUGGGUGGAUUGUACUCGUCUUCUCCCAUGUCAAUAACCUUAAAAUCAUCUCGAGCUGAAUGUAUGUUGGUUAUAGGGGCAUGGUUCCAUACAGGAGCUGAUAAGUGACUGCGGCCAUUAUGUUGAUGUCAGAUCCGGUGUCGUAGAGUGUCUUGUGAAAAGAAUAUCCAUUGAUUGUGCACUCGAUGCUUGGAACACCAGGGUCAUCCUUCUUGGUCAGGAACGGUGACUGAAGUUGACGAUCUUGACCUCCUUGAACUGCAGUGACCAUCUUAGCUGACUCGGUCCACACUUGCUUGUUCCUGUUCCUCCGGUUGGUCCUCUUCCUUGGUUCAUGUCGGGAUUGCUUUGAUAUUUGUGUAGUCUUGUUCUUGAAGGAAAACGUCUCCUUCCUCCCCUUGAUGUAGAAACUGAUCUUGGCAGCACUAGCGUAGAUGGUAGCUCAUGAGGUGUUCAGGAAUGGCCUCCCUUGGAUGAUGCGUGCCCUCUCAUCAGUACCAGUCUCUAUUAUCACGAAGUCUGCUGGGGCGUACAAGGUACCAACUCGGAUGCAGAGGUUCUUCAAUAUUCCCUUUGGGAAACUUAGUGUCUGAUCUGCAAGCUGCAAACACAUGGUUGUUUCUAGUAAAGGAUGUGUAAAGAAUUUUUUCAUAGAGUACCCUAGGCAUAAUGUUG
rnacentral:lncRNA from 1 species